UAGCCUGAACACGAUAUCACGGCUUGCAGCUCGUUACAACCAAACAGGCAUAACAAAUGACCGUCCCCGUACAGGCAGACCUCGAGUCAUCACUGUAGUCCAAGAUCGGUACAUUCGGGUACUACAUUUGCGUGAUCGUACUGCCAUGGGUGAGAGCACAGCAGCCAAGGUGCCUGGCCUUCGAAGGAUGUCCGGUCAAACUGUACGGAACAGGUUUACCAAUAUUUUGUAACGGUAUAUGUUAUUGAAAACUGGGAAUAUUACAGACUAACUGACCACGUUCCUCAAUCUUAAGCCUGCCAAUGGGUCACACUGAUAACGAACAUCGGACUUAAUCCGGGACCUGUAUCUCUAAAGCUAAUAGAACCAAGGUGCAAUACGUUUAUCUGUCUUUACGGCUGUUUGUAUUCACGCUGGUCAAAUCCGUGCGUGUCACAUAUACCUUCGUGGCAUACUCUCGACUGGCCAUCGAUGCUUUGGUCAAACUAAAUGACAUAAUCUCAACUUUCAAUAACAACGUUAUCUGUAAACACUUUUUUCUGCGAUAGCUAGAAUAGGUAUAAAAUACGGAUGACAGUCACAAAUCAGGGGGUGGCUGUCCAGUAAAUUCACUUAGAUAUGUAAGGUAUUCUAAUAUACGUUAGCUAUGUUAAGUUAUCGGACAUCUCUUUACGCUUUUUUACGCUUGGUCUCUUCCUUCAGGUUGAUGUGGAGGCAUGCUUUAUCAUGUGUCUCAUACAUUCUGUAUUACCGUUUAGGAUUGUUGUUUUUUAAUACUGAUUGACACUACAUUGUUUUGUGACUAUUACAGUAUGUAUAGAGUGUGUACCCUAACUAUUGCAUUACGUGCAAACACUAUAUUGUUUAGUGACUGUUGUAGAAUGCACAUUGUAUGAACACCCACUGGGGUGAUGUCUAGAUUGUAUAGAGUGUGUACCCUGGCUAGUACAUUGCGUUAUGAGCACUAUGCUGUUUGUGACUAUUAUAGAAUGUAUAGAGCGUGUCAGGUAUCUUAAACAUUGUAUUGCGGUGUGAAUACUAUGCUCUUUAUGACUGUUAUAGAAUGUAGUUGUAUAAACCCACACUGGGAUGGUGUGUAAAAUAUUGAACAAUGUAUACCUUUGAAUAUGCAUCGUGAUUAAUGUAGCUUGUGUGGUGUUUAUAUACUUUAUACUGAUUACAUUGUCUACAUGUUCUAAUAAUUAAUUGUAAACCAUUUUAUUACUGGUUGAAUAUGUAAAGAUGAUCCUGAGACUGGUGUGUAAUAAACUCCUUGUUUAUUUA